rnacentral:rRNA from 1 species
UACGAAGGGGGCUAGCGUUGCUCGGAAUCACUGGGCGUAAAGCGCACGUAGGCGGAUCGUUAAGUCGGGGGUGAAAUCUCGGGGCUUAACUCCGAAACUGCAUUCGAUACUGCCGUGCUUGAGGACUGGAGAGGAGACUGGAAUUUACGGUGUAGCGGUGAAAUGCGUAGAUAUCGUAAGGAAGACCAGUGGCGAAGGCGGGUCUCUGGACAGUUCCUGACGCUGAGGCACGAAGGCCAGGGGAGCAAACGGG